GGCGCUGUAGUGUAGAGGUUAUCACUCGAGAUUUUGACCACCAUCUUCUCGAAACCCAGGUUCGAGUCCUGGCAGUGCCU